rnacentral:rRNA from 1 species
AGUGAACGCUGGCGGUAUGCCUAACACAUGCAAGUCGAACGGCAGCACAGUAAGAGCUUGCUCUUACGGGUGGCGAGUGGCGGACGGGUGAGGCAUACAUCGGAAUCUACUUUUUCGUGGGGGAUAACGUAGGGAAACUUACGCUAAUACCGCAUAUGUCCUACGGGUGAAAGCAGUGGAUCUUCGGACUUUGCGCGAUUGAAUGAGCCGAUUUCGGAUUAGCUAGUUGGCGGGGUAAAGGCCCACCAAGGCAACGAUCCGUAGCUGAUCUGAGGGGAUGAUCGGCCAACCUGAAACUGAGAAAGGGCCCAAACCCCUACGGAAGGAAGAGGAGGGAAAUAUUGGAAAAUGGGGGCAAGCCUGAUCCAGCCAUACGGGGUGGGUGAAGAAGGCUUUCGGGUUGUAAAGCCUUUUUGUUGGGAAAGAAAAGCGGCAGGUUAACACUGCGCUGUUCUGACGGUACCAAAAGAAUAAGCACCGGCUAACUUCGU